CGAACGGAAAGGCCCUGCUUGCAGGGUACUCGAGUGGCGAACGGGUGAGUAACACGUGGGUGAUCUGCCCUGCACUUCGGGAUAAGCCUGGGAAACUGGGUCUAAUACCGGAUAGGAGCCAUUUUUAGUGUGAUGGCUGGAAAGUUUUUUCGGUGUAGGAUGAGCUCGCGGCCUAUCAGCUUGUUGGUGGGGUAAUGGCCUACCAAGGCGGCGACGGGUAGCCGGCCUGAGAGGGUGGACGGCCACAUUGGGACUGAGAUACGGCCCAGACUCCUACGGGAGGCAGCAGUGGGGAAUAUUGCACAAUGGGCGCAAGCCUGAUGCAGCGACGCCGCGUGGGGGAUGACGGCCUUCGGGUUGUAAACUCCUUUCGCUAGGGACGAAGCUUUUUGUGACGGUACCUAGAUAAGAAGCACCGGCUAACUACGUGCCAGCAGCCGCGGUAAUACGUAGGGUGCGAGCGUUGUCCGGAAUUACUGGGCGUAAAGGGCUCGUAGGUGGUUUGUCGCGUCGUCUGUGAAAUUCCGGGGCUUAACUCCGGGCGUGCAGGCGAUACGGGCAUAACUUGAGUACUGUAGGGGUAACUGGAAUUCCUGGUGUAGCGGUGAAAUGCGCAGAUAUCAGGAGGAACACCGAUGGCGAAGGCAGG
rnacentral:rRNA from 1 species